CCUACGGGUGGCAGCAGUGAGGAAUAUUGGUCAAUGGACGAGAGUCUGAACCAGCCAAGUAGCGUGAAGGAUGACUGCCCUAUGGGUUGUAAACUUCUUUUAUAUGGGAAUAAAAUGUUCCACGUGUGGGAUUUUGUAUGUACCAUAUGAAUAAGGCUCGGCUAACUCCGUGCCAGCAGCCGCGGUAAUACGGAGGAUCCGAGCGUUAUCCGGAUUUAUUGGGUUUAAAGGGAGCGUAGGGGGGUGGUUAAGUCAGUUGGGAAAGUUUGCGGCUCAACCGUAAAAUUGCAGUUGAAACUGGCAGUCUUGAGUGCAAUAGAGGUGGGCGGAAUUCGUGGUGUAGCGGUGAAAUGCUUAGAUAUCACGAAGAACUCCGAUUGCGAAGGCAGCUCACUGGACUGCGACUGACGCUGAGGCUCGAAAGUGUGGGUAUCGAACAGGAUUAGAUACCCGUGUAGUC
rnacentral:rRNA from 1 species